CAGAGUCUCCAGCGCCUAGUCGUUGGGUAUACGGCGCGAUGUACAGAGCCGCGACACGCGACACGCAACUAGCAGCAGCAGCAGCAGCAGCAGCAGCACAAGUUGUGGCAGCAACACCACCAGCAGCAGCAGCAGCAGCAGCAACACUUGCAACACCAGCAACACUUGCAGCAGCAGCAGCAGCAACACUAGCAACCGCAACAGCAACAGCAGCCGGAAGACCAAACGACCAUUGAGCCGCCCUUUUAAGCCGUUGCUCGCGACGCGAAAAAAAAAAUUAUUUAAAAUCUAACCUAAUCUGAAAAAAGAAAGAAAUCUUUCUCUCUCUCUAACUCCAACAAAACUAAAAAUCUUUUCGACUUACCAGCAUACUUUUUGAGGCGGAAAACGACACGAAUCACACCCCUAAUACAGCGCCAAAUGAGCUGGAAAUGUCCAAGUGGCCGGUGGCGAUGGUGAUGAUGAUGAUGGUGGUUUUGGAUGGGCCAUCGAGGAAGCAACAACGGUGGCAAAUAAGCCAAAUUAACGAGAUCCCGGAUCCCAAAGGCAGGAGGCACAUCUCACUGGCAGCCGAGGAACAAUGCCCUGAAAGAAAGCCAUUCAAAUCGCCCAAGUAAUCGGCAAAUAAUCGAGAGAAGUCGCUUCGUUUUCGUUGAGGUUUUCGUUUCUUGCGAAAUUUCGGUUUCGGUUUCGCGAGUGCUAUCUUACCACUUCCGUUUCCGCUUUCGUGUAUGUGUGUGCCGACUCCAGUUUCUGUGUCUUGGUGUGAGAGCAGUUGGCCAGAUAUAUCUAUCUUUAUUUUUUUUGUUUUUUUUUUUCACCAAACCCCUAACGCCAAAAGUUAAAGUUCUGAAAACUAAACUAAAGAGUCGAGAUUAAAAAUGCAAAUUAGGCCGGAUAAAUGAGGACUGAGUGUUGCGGUCGAGGGCAGUUCCAGUUCCAGGUCCAGUUCCAGUCGCAGGACCCUUCUCGCUGGCCUACACUGUGCAUCGUGAGUGGGACUCGAGUCGCAGCCAUUCUCGCUCUCCCCCGCCCUCUGUCCUUCGCCCCCAGCAUUCUCGAAGCCAACUACGGAUAUUAAUAGCUCUAGUUCUAAUUGCAAGCAAAUAUCAAUAGCAAUCUACGAUUCAAUAAUAAUACAAUACAUAUUCGAAGCAUAACUAC